rnacentral:misc_RNA from 1 species
GCGAGUGUGGGUAAUAUGAACAUAUCCACAAUGUCAGCCAUCUUAUCCACGUCAGAAGGCACUAUGAAAACUACACGAAAAGUAACGAAAAGGUCAACUCUCAAGGCAUAUCAAAGUAACAACAGCGGGGCCACACUUAGCAUAACUAGUAACACCAGUAUUGUUGAUGGCGAUGCAGAGAAUAGUGCCACAAGGCAUAAAGCAAGUAAGAAGGAAUCUUCGGCAAGAGAAAAUGUAGAAGAACAGAGUCAGCUAAAUGAGAAUGUCUCUUCUACAGAAGAUGUGCAAAAGAUAUUAAAUAGCGAUUGCAAAAAAAAAUUAAAAAGCAAACAAAAGAAAAGUGAAACCAAUAAACAGAAUGUAUCGGUGAAUUCGAACUUAAAUAAAUUUGAUGCUCUACAAAAACGCAACUUAAUUCAUGUACGUUCAAGCGAUCCUUGUAAAGCACAGGAAAAGUUCAGUAAACUACAAGGGUAUAAGGAAAUUAAUUGCCGUUUAUGCACUAAGCCUGUGUAUAAAAUGGAGGAAAUUAUGGCUGAAAAAAAAAUUUAUCAUAAGAAUUGCUUCCGCUGCCAUGAAUGUAAUAAGCAAUUGAAAGUGGACAACUAUUUAAGCCAUGAAGGCAUACUGUAUUGUAUGGUACACUUUAAAUUGUUAUUUAGCCCAAAAUGCGUUGAAGACUCAGAACCAGAUAUUCCACGUAAGCCAGAAAUGAUUGUUAGAGAAAAUCACCCGAAUGAGUUACCCUCAGAUGUUAUAAGAGCAUCUGACAAGCCUGACCUCGGGUUGGAAGAGCUGCAACAGCUAAACGUACGAUCCAUAUUUCAAGUAUUUGAAAACGCAAUGAAAAUCCAAGAAGAAGAGCAUACUGAGCAGUCUCAACGAAAUGCCGUUAAGACUUCAAUAUUAUCGAAAAUAGCUAAACUGAAAGAACAGGGAAUUACUUCUGAUCUGAGCUUAAAGGACUAUAACGAUAGGAAAAAACAGAGUGGAAGUGAUGACUAUUCAUCUGAUAGUAACAAUGAUACGAGCCACGAUAAUAAAGAAAGCAUCGAAGACCGAGAUUCUGAUCGGGUGCACUCAGAGAAGAGCACCCAAAGGGAACGUCCGGUUGGACUUGGACAUGCAAUGCAUGAAAUUACGACGAAGUUCGAAAAUGAUCAAGUAAUGCCCAAGGAAGAACGACGUGAGGAACGUAAACAGGAAAUUCAAAAUAUACGUUCUCGCUUGUUUAUGGGAAAGCAGGCCCGUAUUAAGGAAAUGUAUCAACAAGCUGUUGCCGAAUCAGGACAUGGAACUACUUCGUCUGAUAAAAAGCCAGAGAUUGAAAUAGAAGGAGCCGCACGUUCACUUAAGGAACGUUUCGAAAGCGGCGAAGCAUUUAGGGACACCCAAGAUUUCAGUGCGGAAAAUGUCAGUUCUAAUGCUGUCUUGAAGAGCGAGGCUGACGUUUUCGAGUCCGCAAUGAGUAAGAAAUCACGGAGUAUUUUUAUGCAACUAGAUGCUCAAAAUGUAGCUGAUAGAAAACAAAUUAUGUCACCAAAGUUGCCGAAUUCACAAUUGACCAAACAACAUUCGAGUAGAACUAAUCGACAAAAUAGUGAAAAUGAACCAGAGAUUGUCGUCAAAUAUCACGAAAAGCCGGAGGAUAUAGAAACCGCGGUAUCCGAUAUUAGUUCGAAAUUUAAGUUUUUCGAAACAUAUCGUCCCCCAGUACAAAUAAGAAAGCAAUUUCGUAUUACUCCGCCAAGGGAAGAGGUUUUAAAAAUGCCAUCGUCAGAGUUUAAAACUGAAGCUUCUAAGAAUGCAGGCGAACUUGACAAAGAAGCUGAUGUUCUUGAGAAGUCACAUACUACUGCCAUAAUGUUGAGCAAGUUUCGCGAAAUAGAACAAAAUCGUGAUGAUCUACAAUCUAGCCCCCGGCCAUUAAAAUGUUUUACGCCGCCUCCAGAUGGUGGCAACCGCUUCUAUCAGGAUGUAGACAGCAGUGAUCUGGAAUCACAGGAUGAAAAUGAAGAAUUCGAAGAUGAUAAUAAAGAAGCUAAUUACGACUCAUCGGGUGAGCGUUAUAAGCGCCAAAUUGAUGACGAAGCUCUUAAGGAGCAUACGAGAACGAUUUGAAAACAUGAAAGAUUCUUCGCUGAACACUGAAGCAACCAGACCACGGUAUAAAGUUAACCGUUUUGUGUAAUGAUUCAAAGCGCAGUCAACUUGUUAAUCAAUCAUCUUUUGGAAUAUAUUGUAGUAAAUAUUGGUGAUGAAGUAAGUCCAGCGAUUUUAAUUCAAUAUUUAAAACAGUUACCGAUCAAUAAACAAAAAUUGUAUGCAAAUAAAA